AUUGAACGCUGGCGGCAGGCCUAACACAUGCAAGUCGAGCGGAGCAGCGGACGGGUAAGUAAUGCCUAUGUAUCGGAAUGGGAGUGAGGGAUAACGUCCGGAAACGGGCGCUAAUACCGCAUACUAUCAGAUGAGCCUAGGUCGGAUUAGCUAGUGGGUGUGGUAAAGGCCUACCAAGGCGACGAUCCGUAACUGGUCUGAGAGGAUGAUCAGUCACACUGGAACUGAGACACGGUCCAGACUCCUACGGGAGGCAGCAGUGGGGAAUAUUGGACAAUGGGCGAAAGCCUGAUUCAGCCAUGCCGCGUGUGUGAAGAAGGUCUUCGGAUUGUAAAGCACUUUCAGCUGGGAGGCGUUACCAACAGAAGAAGCACCGGCUAACUUCGUGCCAGCAGCCGCGGUAAUAC
rnacentral:rRNA from 1 species